GUACAAGCUUUGGAAGUACAUAUACUAAAGUUAGAACGAUACAGAGAAGAUUAGUAUGAAUCCUGCACAAGGAUGACAUGUAAAUUCACGAGGCAUUCCGUAUUUUC
rfam:Octopus bimaculoides Scaffold173626_contig_85, whole genome shotgun sequence.